AAAAAAUCCAAAAAAAAUCUUUUUUUCUUCUUCUCUUGGAGUUGGUAAAUAGGGAGAGAAAGUGGAAAAUUCGAAAACCAUCAUUUUUUCGUCCUAACCUUUCAUUUCAUUUACAUAGAGAGACAGAGAGACACAGAAAGAAUUUUUCUUUCAUCUGUCGGGUAUUGCUCUAAAUUUUAGAAUAUUUUUAUUUCAUAUUUCUUAUAUCAUAUGAUCGAUGAUCGAAGAUGGGUUUUGUGCAGCCAUAUUCAUUCUCCGAUUAUAAAGUUCCCAGUGUUGCUGUUGUUGAAGUUGUCUGUUAAUCAGAAUCCGCCGCAUCUCCGACAAUCUUAACCGGAGAAUCUCUUGUUCCGUCAAGAGCCGGUUAUUGUCCGUAUUCACUCGUUGAAGC
rnacentral:lncRNA from 1 species